rnacentral:lncRNA from 1 species
UCCAAGCAGACAAGCCAACCUUCAUGUGUAUUUCCUGUUAUAUCUCUACUCUAUUCUUCUCUGCUCUGUUUUCAGGAAGAAGCUGGAUUGGUGGCUGUUUCCGGUUUCCAGCAUGCAGAUGGGUAUGCCAACGGCUGUUCCUUGGUUGAACUAUGCAAAGCAUCUCGCUGAAUUCCAAGCUGUACUAUUUUGGGUCUGCAUACAUACCCAAGCAGGGGAGAUAAAAGCUGCAAGUUGGGUAGAAAGCUCGGCAUGAUUCUCGGUAAUACUCUUUACUUGGUGCUUGAUGAUUUUUUUGAUGAUAACUCUUUACUUGGUACAAGGUAUUUGAUGAUUUUAAUAUAGUAUGACCCUGCUUUAGAUAGCAGUUUACAUACAUGCCUGAAUAUGUUCAAGAUGCAUUGCAUUGUGACACCAUCAAUGGUUCAACCGACUGUCAAACACACAGACGCGUCGGACACCGAAGGCAAAGGGCACCCAACUCUCAAGGGUGCAAGCAGAAAAAGAAGAAGUCAUUGGAAUAAUCUGAUCCUUUUCAGGGGCUAAUUGAGACCAGAAGAGGAAACAUCCAUUUCUGUACAUCAAGAAGCAUAGCAGAAAAAUUCAAUGUGUGACCAUUGUUGCCUCUGAUCUCUCUAUGUUCUUCACUGCCCAAAUGCCCAGCCACAUUCAUAGUGAAAAGAACCAUGUCUCUACAAAACAAACAUACAAGGUGGACCUGCUUUACUACCUGGUACCUGCACAUAGGGUCGUCAACACCGUCAUCCUGCCUGUUAUGCUGUCGUAUCAAGUUUGGGUUCAAAGGAGUCAAGUCAAAAAGGCCAAGAGCGCUAUGCAUGUGAUUCUCCACUAAUCUCUCCUCUUUACCAGUCGUAUACGUUCAUCAAUUCAUGUUUUUUAUCAAAAAUAGGGAAGAUGUAUUCAACUUCGCUUCAUCGUUUCUUAUUAGUUGUAGGUAAUUUAUAUUGAGCUGAAUUAGCAUCAUUUCUUGAACAAACAAUUCUUGCAGUACGGUUCGAGAGAUGGGACAAACGUAUGAGAAAUAAGAUACGCAAUCACCAAUUAAUCUAGCGGGACCAAGUUAUUACGGCGUAGAUUAAUCGAGUUUGACAGAAAUUACCCACUAUGCCACGGGCAAGUGAAAAAAGCGGUUCAUUUUAUUUUCCACCUGUCCUACCUUCUUCUCUCUCAGGCCUAUUCUUUCCCCCAUCUCCUUGCAGCGACUCAAAAAAAUCCACUUGCAGCCGCCACCGUAAGCCCUCGCCGCCAACCCACAAAAGAGUCCUGGCCGCCGGCUCUCCGGUGCUCUCCGCCUCCCUGGAAGGUUGGAUCUCGCCGUGGUCCCGAAAUCGCCGGCUCUCUCCACCCUUGAGGUCUCAUAUCUCCCAAGGAUCCUCUCCAACCCAGAGUUCCUCGUGGAGGGCACUAACUGACACCGGCGUGCGGGGGCGAGGCAGGCCGCCCCUCCUCCGACCAUCUAACCAUAGCAGCGUGGCUCCUCCGACGAGCGGAUGGGCUCUCCUCUCCCAUCGGCCGGCACCUCGACUCCGACUCCUACAGCUCGCGCCGGCCAACAUCCUCUAUCGCCAAAUCUUAACCACACCAUGUUCUUCUGGACAUCGUCGUGAACCUCCAAGCAGACAAGCCAACCUUCAUGUGUAUUUCCUAUUAUAUCUCUACUCUAUUCUUCUCUGCUCUGUUUUUCAGGAAGAAGCUGGAUUGGUGGCUGUUUCCGGUUUCCAGCAUGCAGAUGGGUAUGCCAACGGCUGUUCCUUGGUUGAACUAUGCAAAGCAUCUCGCUGAAUUCCAAGAUGUACUAUUUUGGGUCUGCAUACA